rnacentral:rRNA from 1 species
CGACCGGCGCACGGGUGAGUAACACGUAUGCAACCUGGCCGUCACAGGUGGAUAACCGGAAGAAAUUCCGACUAAUACAGCAUAACACUCCUGAGGGACAUCCCUUGGGAGUCAAAGGAGGCAACUCCGGUGACGGAUGGGCAUGCGGCGCAUUAGGCAGUAGGCGGGGUAACGGCCCACCUAACCGACGAUGCGUAGGGGUUCUGAGAGGAAGGUCCCCCACACUGGUACUGAGACACGGACCAGACUCCUACGGAAGGCAGCAG